rnacentral:rRNA from 1 species
CGCUGAACUUAAGCAUAUCAAUAAGCGGAGGAAAAGAAACCAACAGGGAUUGCCCUAGUAACGGCGAGUGAAGCGGCAACAGCUCAAAUUUGAAAUCUGGCGCAAGCCCGAGUUGUAAUUUGUAGAGGAUGCUUCUAGGUAGCGACCGGUCUAAGUUCCUUGGAACAGGACGUCAUAGAGGGUGAGAAUCCCGUAUGUGACCGGCCCGCACCUUCUACGUAGCUCCUUCGACGAGUCGAGUUGUUUGGGAAUGCAGCUCUAAAUGGGAGGUAAAUUUCUUCUAAAGCUAAAUACCGGCCAGAGACCGAUAGCGCACAAGUAGAGUGAUCGAAAGAUGAAAAGCACUUUGGAAAGAGAGUUAAAAAGCACGUGAAAUUGUUGAAAGGGAAGCGCUCACAACCAGACUUCUGGGCGGUGUUCCGCCGGUCUUCUGACCGGUCUACUCACCGUCCCGAGGCCAACAUCAUCUGGGACCGCCGGAUAAGACCUCAGGAAUGUAGCUCCCCUCGGGGAGUGUUAUAGCCUGUGGUGAUGCGGCGCGUCUCGGGUGAGGUCCGCGCUUCGGCAAGGAUGUUGGCGUAAUGGUUGUCAGCGGCCCGUCUUGAAACACGGACCAAGGAGUCUAACAUCUAUGCGAGUGUUCGGGUGUCAAACCCCUACGCGUAAUGAAAGUGAACGGAGGUGGGAAGGGCAACCUGCACCAUCGACCGAUCCUGAUGUCCUCGGAUGGAUUUGAGUAAGAGCAUAGCUGUUGGGACCCGAAAGAUGGUGAACUAUGCCUGAAUAGGGUGAAGCCAGAGGAAACUCUGGUGGAGGCUCGCAGCGGUUCUGACGUGCAAAUCGAUCGUCAAAUUUGGGUAUAGGGGCGAAAGACUAAUCGAACCAUCUAGUAGCUG